AUGCUGGGAGUCUAUAAGCCUCAUCUUGAUGUUGUGAAGAUGCACUGGAUUUUACCGUGUGUGUUGUAGAUUGUGGAAUUGAAUAUACAGUUUGUAAUUGCUCAUCCUAUGUGUUCUAAUUCACGGAGACAAUGUCUUUCAGUCAUUUCACCCAAGGAGGCAUGCAUACGGAUUUAGGCUUUGAAAACAAACAGCCAAAAUGGCGGCCGGUGAAUUAGAAAGUGUCUGAGUGCAUGUAGGAUAUCUGAACGGAGAAUAGGAGUACUGCGUCCCAUCUGAUCCUACAGGCCCGUGAUUUUAUAUACAGCAAGAUUACGACUGCAGUUCCACCAGUUGGAAACAAGUCCUCCAUCAAAAACGAGGGAAUAUGUUGCACACAUUGAGCAGUCUCCAGUAUAGCACAGAACAGUGGCCUCCAGGACUUUAGUGUUUCAGGAGAUUCAGCUCAUCACUUCAAAGGCCUUUCACUCUGCUGUUCAGAUGACAAAUACAGUGUGACUUCAGAGGGAUGUGUCGUAUGGCUGUAGAAGUUUUUGUGCCAAGUUUCAUGAAAAUCAAAGAAGAAUUUGUGAGGCCAAUCAGCCAGGAACGUCAACCAUUUCUGGACACCCAUUGUCCGAUUUCGCUACGACCAGGUGUACAUCUUUUAAACAUGGAAGUGUGACUAUUCAUGGUAACAGUAAGAGACGUAUCUUUGUCCGUGACUGCAUUUUUAACAAAGCCUGGUAGGAAGUAUUUGCUGCUUGACCAGCAUCAUUGUCUGGGUCAUCCGGUCAGUGGUUACCACCUGUACUUCAAGGUCACUCUCAGAGGAGUCCCCACAGCAUCCGUAUUCCAGGUGAUGCAUUGAAAUGCUUAAACCACAUGCCCCAGGACUACAAAAGUGCUAUUAUUUAGAUUCCUGAACCCUUCUCUAGAACCACAGGACCCAAUUUCAACUUAGAACAGACCAUACUUGGAUGAAGGGAUCCAUGAUUGUUCAAUUAUAGGGCUUCAACCCAUUCCAAAGGAGAUAACAAAGAAAUGGCAAAAAUAGGAUUGAGUCGUUUUCGAAUCUCUACAAGAAGCACUGUUUUACAUAGGGAUAUAUGGGGAAAUUUUUGAAAAUCUUUUCUCAAAAACGAAAAAACGAAACAGUAGGACGAUAUAUGAUAUGCAAUCAUUCUAAAGUUGGUAGGGUGGGGUCACAAUAUGGGAAAACAUUUAGAGCACUUGAAAUUAAUUAUCUGGUUCUCAGGCCAAUUUUCUCAAAACCAGAUGAGGGAGGGAGGCAUUUUGUUUUCAUUUCUAUUAGGCAUGAAAUAGGUGAUGGAAGCUUUUUUGAAAUCUGAAACUUGUUGGAAAAGAAACUUUAAACAUAAAAGUUCUCUGAAACAUACACUUUGUUGUUCGGUGAUUACAGCUUUAUACAUACUUCAGACAUACUGAUUGAGCAAAUAUGGAUGUUUACAUGAAUCUUACAUUAAAUGUUCAUCCAAUGCAAUUCUCUUGUGAAGUAAAUUAAAAUUUAAACUGUAACAAACUUGCAAAAACAUCACACAGGCCCUGUUUACAUAACUAAGAAUUGAGAGUGCUGUAUCUCAUUUAAAACUGAAGAACUGACCAUCCAAUGUUUUACUGACCAUUAGAAAUACCCCAGUUAAACAUACAAUUAUAAAUAUUACAAAUGAGAAAAUAAGAUUAGAAAUGUUUAGUCCAAAUCGUGUUUAUGCCCCUUUAAGCAUAAUAUAACACAAGUCAUCCUUGGGCAAAUGGGAUUCUAGUUUGUUCAAAUAAAGGACCAUGUCCCCAUUAACAGGAGAUGGUUACAAAAAUGCAAAAAUAGGGUUUGGUCAUUUAAAAAUCUUCUCAAUAGCUACUGGGCCAGAAAAGUUCAAAUUUAUAUGGAUCCGAAGCUUCCUGACAUAGAGCAGAUUGAAGUUUAUUCAAAUAAUGGCUCCAGGGGAUGGGUGGGGUCACAAUAGGGAAGCAAAUUUUUAUAUGCAAAUUUAUAGAAAAUUUUUCAAAAACCUUUAUAGGUUACCUGAGUAAACUCAGGUGACCAGAGUAUUGCAAUUGGUGUCCGUCCGUCGUGCGUGAACAAUUGAACAUUUUUAACUUCUUAAUAACUACCAGUCCAAUUCUUUUCAAAUAUAGUAUGAAGCAUCAUAGGGACAAGGGGGACAUAAAUUGUAAUUUCAGGGCUCCGGCUCCCCUGGGGCCCUAGGGGCGGGGCAGAACUUGUUAUAUAGUGUUUAUGUGUAAAAGACUUAAAUUACAUCUUCAUUUAUGCUAUUGAUACUAAACUGAAAGUAAAAAGAUAUUUAGAAAGAACAGGUAGUCCUUUACCAAAAUUGUAAAUUUGAUAACCCCAGGUUUAGGAGUUUAAGUAUCAGGGUGGGGCCAAAAUGGUAAGUUAUUAAGUGUGUGAACAAUAGACAUUCUUAACUUCUUCUUGAUUAAUAUCAUUCCAGUUCUUUUCAGAUUUGGUAUGCAACACAUUUGGAACAAAGGGAACAUAAUUUGUAAAUUUCAGGAUUCCUGCACCCCUGGUGCUUUAGGGACAGGGCAAAAACUGCCCCAAAAUGACUAAUUUAAAAAAAUCUUCUUCUAAAGAACCACACACAUGUAAGAACAAGGUCAAACUUGUUAUAUAGUUGUUAUAUAGUUUUUAAGUGUAAAACACUUUAAAAAAAACAUUUAAUUUAGUGCUUUUGGUACUAAAUUGAAACUAAAUGGGUGGAGUAGGAAGUCUUUUACGAAAAUUGUAAAUUUGAUUUUCCCCAGAGUAAGGGUUUUGAGGCCAAACUUGGUAUAUAGUAUUUAUGUGUAAGUUUGCUGAUACUGUAUAAAAUCUAAAUGCAUACUUAGAAAUAGCAGAAAAGGAUGUACAAAAAAUGGUGAAAUUCACAACCCAGGGUUAUGACGUUAGGAUGAGUCCAAAGUAGUCAUAUAUUUUUAUGUUUUAAUAUUAACACACCUAUUAUUUAAAACCUUUCUUCAGUGUAUGCACUUUUGAGGGCAGUGACGUUUUAAGAACACAUCUUAUUGUAUACUAUUGCUGAACAUUAGAAUUUAGUUUAGAUAUUCAGAACAGGAAUUUUUUUCUAGAUUUCAUAGCCCAUGGAAGUAGUGAUACUUUUUCCACUAGUAUCCAGGUGACCGAUAAGGCCUGUGGGCCUCUUGUUCUCAAUAGCCAGAAAAGCGGAAAUUCAUAUGGCAGUUUCCUGACAUAGUGCAGAUUCAAGUUUAUUAAAAUCAUGCCCCCCCCCCCCCCCGUGUAAGUUGGGCCAUAAUAAGGGAUCAAAUUUUUUCAUGUGAAUAUACAGGGAAAAUCUUGUAGAAUUCACAAAAAAAAGUUCAAAUUUACAUCGUAACUUCUUGACAUGGUGCAGAUUUAAAUUCUCAAAAUCAUGUUCCCCUGGGGUGAGUUGGAGCCAGAAUAAGGGAUCAAAGUUUUACAUGUGAAAUAUAUAGAGAAAAUCUUUGAAUAUGGUCCAAGGUGACUCAGGUGGGUAAUGUGUCCCAUGGCCCUCUUGUUUUAAAGCCAGGGCCGUAAAUUACAUGGAGGCGGAGGAGGCAGCUUCCUUCUCCAACUUUUGAGCCAAAAAAAAUUAAAAUUAAAAUUUCUUUAGAAUUUAUGUUGUUUCCAAUAACUAAGAACAUGAUACCUCCCUUAAAAAGCAUUCCAAAUCUUUCUUUUAGAAUGAGUUAGUCAAGUAACAUCUUAGAAGGCCCUAGAAUCAAGGAUUUUGCACGAAACGUGUUCAGUGUGCACAAAAUGUGCUCAGCGUCUGGGGACCCCCAGACCCCCGCCUAAUUCCCUGCCUCCUCCAAAUUGAAGGUUAAUUUACGGCCCUGAAAGCUGUCUGAUAUUAUCCAACAGGGUUCGAAAUUAACUCAUGUCCAUAAGUCCGAGACUAGUAAAAACGUGUCGGACUAGUGAACUCUCUAUAGCACUAGUCCAUACGGACUAGUGAAAAUCCGGAAAUCAAUCUUGAAUAUGGUAAAGAUUUUUAGCAAGAUUUGUCCGAGUCUCUUAGAUGUUUGAACUUAUGGUCGAUUAAUUACCUGCAUGGUUAAGUGUUUGCGUGACUAUGACAUCCUGGGCUUCCAAACACAUGGAGUGCAUUCGAGACCGCCGUUCUUCGAACAUGCACAAAUUGUCAAAUUCCUGCCGAUUCCGAACGCCGAGUACACAUCACGAGAACGUAUUCUAGGUGCAAGAAUUGCAAGUAGUGUGGUCUGACAACAUGCACGUUUGUACGCACAUGUUCUCGUCAUUCGUGACUCUAACACAGUAGUUCAUAACACUAUAGCUCAUGACUUGGUCAAUCGAGUGAAUUUUAUUGACUUUAUUGAUAAAAUUUCGAACUCCUGUGGCUCUUAGAUCUGAGCACCAAAACAACAGGAAUGUCGAUCUCGAAUGCACUUAUGGAUGUUUAUAAAAGGAUUAAUUCGGAGGUUAAUAAUGUAUGCUUCCGAAGAUCUUGAAUGCGAAAUAAAAUAUGGUGGUCUCUUUCUUCUGUACGUGUCAGAUCAGAAAUUAAAUUGAUUGCAUCUGUGAUGUGUUUGGUUUCAUUAAAUACUGUUGAAUAAAAUGAAGAUAAUUUGAUAUGAUGUACUGGACGGACUAGUGAAAUGUUUUGCGGACUAGUGAACAUCAACAGUGACUAGUCCGUACGGACUAGUGCUUGAAAAAGUUAAUUUCGAACCCUGUCCAAGAUAGAAGUUUAAGUGUGAACAGCAAAAUGACUAGAUUUAAUACAAAAUCAUGAAUACUGAAGAUGAAACUGUGGUCAAUGUCGUGUCAGUGAUUGAUUGACUAUUCUGAAUAAUUUUGAAUAUGAUAUCUUAAUCAAUGAAUCCUGUUUGUCAAGGCAAUGUAUCUAGUUAACUUUAUCACCAAGCUACCAAUGAUUCAGCAUAAUCACUUGAUUAACUUUCUGCAUUAUGUAUAAACUUUUUGACACAUCCUUGGUCUGUUUGUAGAAUUUGGCGUGAAGUGAUUGGUUGUACAGAAAUUUCAAGUUCUCCCAGAUCCAGGGAAACAUGAGGACUAUGGAGUGUCGUGAUGUUAUUGAUGGUCAACAGAAGACUGUGACCUUGAAUCUGAAGAUCUGUGAUGAAGACUGGACGUUUGGGGUCACUCUCUGUUACAGUACUACAAAUCUAACAGUGUCACACUCAGCCACAAAGAGGUUGUCUCUGAUGUCCACACAUAAACCGUAUGGGCGUUCUAAAUCACAGUGAAUGUAACGGAGGAACUGUCCGUCCUGAUCUAGGAUGUGGAUACGGUUAUUGUUAAAGUCUGCUGUCAGGAUGUGACUCUGGCUGUCUGUAGUGAGGCCGCGUGGAUAAAAUGAUUGCUCGGUAUUAGAGGGAUGACCAGUGUAUCUAAAUCGGAGUUUUCCUGACUGAUUGACCACCACUACUGCUCUAGCGUACCAGUCAGCCACACAGAUAUCCAGGUUCUUGUUCUCACUGAUGUCACCACCAGAUUUAUAGAGAGGACGACCCUGAUCAUCAAACUGAAUACUUUGUUUCUCUGUGGAGCCGGAGUAACGCACGACUUUGGAUUGUUUGACAUCAUCACUGUUCAUGGUAACCAGGAGGUCG